AUUGAACGCUGGCGGCAGGCUUAACACAUGCAAGUCGAGCGGGGUGAUGGUGCUUGCACUAUCACUUAGCGGCGGACGGGUGAGUAAUGCUUAGGAAUCUGCCUAUUAGUGGGGGACAACAUCUCGAAAGGGAUGCUAAUACCGCAUACGUCCUACGGGAGAAAGCAGGGGAUCACUUGUGACCUUGCGCUAAUAGAUGAGCCUAAGUCGGAUUAGCUAGUUGGUGGGGUAAAGGCGUACUAAGGCGACGAUCUGUAGCGGGUCUGAGAGGAUGAUCCGCCACACUGGGACUGGGAAACGGCCCAGACUCCUAGGGGAGGCAGCAGUGGGGAAUAUUGGACAAUGGGGGGAACCCUGAUCCAGCCAUGCCGCGUGUGUGAAGAAGGCCUUAUGGUUGUAAAGCACUUUAAGCGAGGAGGAGGCUCUUUUGGUUAAUACCCAAGAUGAGUGGACGUUACUCGCAGAAUAAGCACCGGCUAACUCUGUGCCAGCCGCCGCAGUAA
rnacentral:rRNA from 1 species